GAUGAACGCUGGCGGCGUGCCUAAUACAUGCAAGUCGAGCGAACGGACGAGAAGCUUGCUUUUCUGAUGUUAGCGGCGGACGGGUGAGUAACACGUGGAUAACCUACCUAUAAGACUGGGAUAACUUCGGGAAACCGGAGCUAAUACCGGAUAAUAUUUUGAACCGCAUGGUUCAAAAGUGAAAGACGGUCUUGCUGUCACUUAUAGAUGGAUCCGCGCUGCAUUAGCUAGUUGGUAAGGUAACGGCUUACCAAGGCAACGAUGCAUAGCCGACCUGAGAGGGUGAUCGGCCACACUGGAACUGAGACACGGUCCAGACUCCUACGGGAGGCAGCAGUAGGGAAUCUUCCGCAAUGGGCGAAAGCCUGACGGAGCAACGCCGCGUGAGUGAUGAAGGCCUUCGGAUCGUAAAACUCUGUUAUUAGGGAGGAACAUAUGUGUAAGUAACUGUGCACAUCUUGACGGUACCUAAUCAGAAAGCCACGGCUAACUACGUG
rnacentral:rRNA from 1 species